GACGAACGCUGGCGGCGUGCCUAAUACAUGCAAGUAGAACGCACAGUUUAUACCGUAGCUUGCUACACCAUAAACUGUGAGUUGCGAACGGGUGAGUAACGCGUAGGUAACCUGCCUGGUAGCGGGGGAUAACUAUUGGAAACGAUAGCUAAUACCGCAUAAUAUUAAUUAUUGCAUGAUAAUUGAUUGAAAGAUGCAAUUGCAUCACUACCAGAUGGACCUGCGUUGUAUUAGCUAGUAGGUGAGGUAACGGCUCACCUAGGCGACGAUACAUAGCCGACCUGAGAGGGUGAUCGGCCACACUGGGACUGAGACACGGCCCAGACUCCUACGGGAGGCAGCAGUAGGGAAUCUUCGGCAAUGGACGAAAGUCUGACCGAGCAACGCCGCGUGAGUGAAGAAGGUUUUCGGGUCGUAAAGCUCUGUUGUAAGAGAAGAACGGGUGUGAGAGUGGAAAGUUCACACUGUGACGGUAUCUUACCAGAAAGGGACGGCUAACUACGUG
rnacentral:rRNA from 1 species